CUAAGGUCUCUCUUCUCCCUGGUCCUCUGUGUUGAAUCACUAAGGUCUCUCUUCUCCCUGGACCUCUGUGUUGAAUCACUAAGGUCUCUCUUCUCCCUGGUCCAGACCUGUCUCUGUGUUGAAUCACUAAGGUCUCUCUUCUCCCUGGUCCAGACCUGUCUCUGUGUUGAAUCACUAAGGUCUCUCUUCUCCCUGGUCCUCUGUGUUGAAUCACUAAGGUCUCUCUUCUCCCUGGACCUCUGUGUUGAAUCACUAAGGUCUCUCUUCUCC